rnacentral:tRNA from 1 species
GGUCUGGUAGCUCAGGGGAAGAGCAUCUGCCUGGCAGGCAGAAGGUCGGCGGUUCGAUUCCGCUUCAGACUC